UGAGUAUCAAGCUUCUUAAUUGAAUGGCGGCGUGCUUAACACAUGCAAGUCGAGCGGUAAGGCCCUUUCGGGGGUACACGAGCGGCGAACGGGUGAGUAACACGUGGGUGACCUGCCCUCCACUCUGGGAUAAGCCCGGGAAACUGGGUCUAAUACCGGAUAGGACCACUGAUCGCAUGGUUGGUGGUGGAAAGUUUUUUCGGUGGGGGAUGGGCCCGCGGCCUAUCAGCUUGUUGGUGGGGUGAUGGCCUACCAAGGCGGUGACGGGUAGCCGGCCUGAGAGGGCGACCGGCCACACUGGGACUGAGACACGGCCCAGACUCCUACGGGAGGCAGCAGUGGGGAAUAUUGCGCAAUGGGCGGAAGCCUGACGCAGCGACGCCGCGUGGGGGAUGACGGCCUUCGGGUUGUAAACCUCUUUCGCCAGGGACGAAGAGCAAUUGACGGUACCUGGAGAAGAAGCACCGGCCAACUACGUGCCAGCAGCCGCGGUAACACGUAGGGUGCGAGCGUUGUCCGGAAUUAUUGGGCGUAAAGAGCUCGUAGGCGGUGUGUCGCGUCGGCCGUGAAAACUUGGGGCUUAACUCUGAGCGUGCGGUCGAUACGGGCAUCACUUGAGUUCGGCAGGGGAGACUGGAAUUCCUGGUGUAGCGGUGAAAUGCGCAGAUAUCAGGAGGAACACCGGUGGCGAAGGCGGGUCUCUGGGCCGAUACUGACGCUGAGGAGCGAAAGCGUGGGGAGCGAACAGGAUUAGAUACCCUGGUAGUCCACGCCGUAAACGUUGGGCGCUAGGUGUGGGGACCAUUCCACGGUUUCUGUGCCGCAGCUAACGCAUUAAGCGCCCCGCCUGGGGAGUACGGCCGCAAGGCUAAAACUCAAAGGAAUUGACGGGGGCCCGCACAAGCGGCGGAGCAUGCGGAUUAAUUCGAAGCAACGCGAAGAACCUUACCAAGGCUUGACAUAUACCGGAAACGCCCAGAGAUGGGUGCCCCGCAAGGUCGGUAUACAGGUGGUGCAUGGUUGUCGUCAGCUCGUGUCGUGAGAUGUUGGGUUAAGUCCCGCAACGAGCGCAACCCUCGUUCUAUGUUGCCAGCACGUGAUGGUGGGGACUCAUAGGAGACUGCCGGGGUCAACUCGGAGGAAGGUGGGGAUGACGUCAAAUCAUCAUGCCCCUUACGUCUUGGGCUUCACGCAUGCUACAAUGGCCGGUACAGAGGGCUGCGAUACCGCAAGGUGGAGCGAAUCCCAAAAAACCGGUCUCAGUUCGGAUUGGGGUCUGCAACUCGACCCCAUGAAGUCGGAGUCGCUAGUAAUCGCAGAUCAGCAACGCUGCGGUGAAUACGUUCCCGGGCCUUGUACACACCGCCCGUCAAGUCAUGGAAGUCGGUAACACCCGAAGCCGGUGGCCCAACCUCUUGUAGGGGGGAGCCGUCGAAGGUGGGACUGGUAACUAGGACUAAGUCGUAACAAGGUAGCCGUACCGGAAGGUGCGGCUG
rnacentral:rRNA from 1 species